rnacentral:rRNA from 1 species
UACGGAGGGUGCAAACGUUGCUCGGAAUCAUUGGGCGUAAAGCGCACGUAGGCGGCCUGAUAAGUCGGGUGUGAAAGCCCUGGGCUCAACCCAGGAAGUGCACUCGAAACUGUCAGGCUUGAAUAUGGAAGAGGGUCGCGGAAUUCCCGGUGUAGAGGUGAAAUUCGUAGAUAUUGGGAAGAACACCGGUGGCGAAGGCGGCACUCUGGGACGGUACUGACGCUGAGACGCGAAAGCGUGGGGAGCGAACAGG